AUAGGAGUGGUGUGUUAAGUAGUACUAUUCUUAUCAGUUUAAUACCUGUUACGUCCCCUAUCAGGGGACGUGUAUAUAGCAUCGAUUUUAGGAACCGGGAGAUGGAAAAAGAUGCUUGGUCGGUCCUCCUUCUUCAAAUUUGGGGCACUGCACGUGCCACCAGAUAGGAGUG
rnacentral:sRNA from 1 species